GGGGAAUAUUGCGCAAUGGGGGAAACCCUGACGCAGCAAUACCGCGUGAGUGAAGAAGGUUUUCGGAUCGUAAAGCUCUGUUAUUGGGGAAGAAAAAAAGACGGUACCCAAGAAGAAAGUCCCGGCUAACUACGUGCCAGCAGCCGCGGUAAUACGUAGGGGACAAGCGUUGUCCGGAUUUACUGGGCGUAAAGGGCACGCAGGCGGUUUUUUAAGUCAGAUGUGAAAGGUACCGGCUCAACCGGUGACAUGCAUUUGAAACUGAAAGACUUGAGUAUGGGAGAGGAAAGUGAAUUCCCGAGGGGAGGGGUAAAAGGCGUAGAAUUAAGGAGAAACACGGGGGGCGAGGGGGGUUUGCGGAAAAAAUACUGACGCUGGGGUGCAAAAGGGUGGGGUGAAAAAG
rnacentral:rRNA from 1 species